rnacentral:rRNA from 1 species
GAUGAACGCUGGCGGCGUGCCUAAUACAUGCAAGUCGAGCGAACGGACGAGAAGCUUGCUUCUCUGAUGUUAGCGGCGGACGGGUGAGUAACACGUGGAUAACCUACCUAUAAGACUGGGAUAACUUCGGGAAACCGGAGCUAAUACCGGAUAAUAUUUUGAACCGCAUGGUUCAAAAGUGAAAGACGGUCUUGCUGUCACUUAUAGAUGGAUCCGCGCUGCAUUAGCUAGUUGGUAAGGUAACGGCUUACCAAGGCAACGAUGCAUAGCCGACCUGAGAGGGUGAUCGGCCACACUGGAACUGAGACACGGUCCAGACUCCUACGGGAGGCAGCAGUAGGGAAUCUUCCGCAAUGGGCCAAAGCCUGACGGAGCAACGCCGCGUGAGUGAUGAAGGUCUUCGGAUCGUAAAACUCUGUUAUUAGGGAAGAACAUAUGUGUAAGUAACUGUGCACAUCUUGACGGUGCCUAAUCAGAAAGCCACGGCUAACUACGUG